rnacentral:rRNA from 1 species
UUGAUCCUGGCUCAGAAUCAACGCUGGCGGCGUGCCUAACACAUGCAAGUCGAACGAGAAAGUGGAGCAAUCCAUGAGUACAGUGGCGUACGGGUGAGUUACACGUGACUACCUACCCUCGAGUGGGGAAUAACCUCGGGAAACCGGGGUUAAUACCGCAUAACAUCUACGGAUCAAAUGCGAAAGCAGCUUGAGGAGGUGGUCGCGGCCGAUUAGCUAGUUGGUGAGGUAAUGGCUCACCAAGGCAAUUAUCGGUAGCCGGCCUGAGAGGGCGCACGGCCACACUGGAACUGAAACACUGUCCAGACUCCUACGGGAGGCAGCAGUGGGGAAUUUUGCGCAAUGGGGGUAACCCUGACGCAGCAACGCCGCGUGGAGGAUGAAGCCCCUUGGGGUGUAUACUCCUUUCGAUCGGGACGAUUAUGACGGUACCGGAUGAAGAAGCACCGUCUAACUCUGUGCCAGCAGCCGCGGUAAUU